AUUGAACGCUGGCGGCAGGCUUAACACAUGCAAGUCGAGCGAGCGGCGGACGGGUGAGUAAUGUCUGGGAAACUGCCUGAUGGCGGGGGAUAACUACUGGAAACGGUAGCUAAUACCGCAUACCAUCAGAUGGGCCCAUAUGGGAUUAGCUAGUAGGUGGGGUAAUGGCUCACCUAGGCGACGAUCCCUAGCUGGUCUGAGAGGAUGACCAGCCACACUGGGACUGAGACACGGUCCAGACUCCUACGGGAGGCAGCAGUGGGGAAUAUUGCACAAUGGGCGCAAGCCUGAUGCAGCCAUGCCGCGUGUGUGAAGAAGGCCUUCGGGUUGUAAAGUACUUUCAGUGGGGAGGCGUUACCCACAGAAGAAGCACCGGCUAACUCCGUGCCAGCCGCCGCGGUAAUUC
rnacentral:rRNA from 1 species